AUUGAACGCUGGCGGAAUGCUUUACACAUGCAAGUCGAACGGCAGCACGGGGCAACCUGGUGGCGAGUGGCGAACGGGUGAGUAAUACAUCGGAACGUGCCCAAUCGUGGGGGAUAACGUAGCGAAAGUUACGCUAAUACCGCAUACGAUCUACGGAUGAAAGCGGGGGAUCGCAAGACCUCGCGCGAGUGGAGCGGCCGAUGUCAGAUUAGGUAGUUGGUGGGGUAAAGGCUCACCAAGCCAACGAUCUGUAGCUGGUCUGAGAGGACGACCAGCCACACUGGAACUGAGACACGGUCCAGACUCCUACGGGAGGCAGCAGUGGGGAAUUUUGGACAAUGGGCGCAAGCCUGAUCCAGCCAUUCCGCGUG
rnacentral:rRNA from 1 species